rnacentral:rRNA from 1 species
AUAAACGCUGGCGGCGUGCAUGAGACAUGCAAGUCGAACGAAGGAUCGGGCUUGCUCGAUCCUUAGUGGCGGACGGCUGAGUAACGCGUAGGUGACCUACCCCGAAGUGGGGAAUAACUGCCCGAAAGGGUGGCUAAUACCGCAUGUGGUCGCACGUUCAUUCGUGCCAGUAAAGCCGCAAGGCGCUUCGGGAGGGGCCUGCGUCCGAUUAGCUCCUUGGUGGGGUAAUGGCUUACCAAGGCGACGAUCGGUAGGUGGUCUGAGAGGACGAUCACCCAGACUGGGACUGAGACACGGCCCAGACUCCUACGGGAGGCAGCAGUCGGGAAUUUUGCUCAAUGGGGGAAACCCUGAAGCAGCAACGCCGCGUGAGGGAUGAAGGCCUUCGGGUUGUAAACCUCUUUUGUCAGGGACGAUGAUGACGGUACCUGGCGAAUAAGCCACGGCUAACUACGUG